UGGCAAUGCUGGGUUAAUGGUUGGUUUUGGUGAUCUUAGAGAUCUUUUCCAACCUUAAUGAUUUUAUUGUAGAUUCCAUCCCAUUUGGAGUAAAAUAAUGAAAGUUCAAAGAAAACACAGAAUAAAAGUACAAUACUUUAAAAAGUGGUGUGUCCGGAAGGCUGCGAUGGUGCAUGUCCCUCGGGCAGAGAGGGUUAAGCCAUGGAGACUGCCACUUUAAACAAAGGCUUGAUUCAUGUCUUUUCUUCCUUGAAGGGAACGAGAGAAAGAAACUCUUUCUCUCUAGGAUAUCCUCCAUAAACCAUGUCCAGAGUGCCAACUGCAUGAAGAAGAAGAGGGAUCCUUGGAAACCAUAUACAGAUGGACUGAACCAAUGACGAAGAAAGAGAGAGAAAGGACAGACAGCCUGUAGGUGAUGGAGCAUGUGUUCUAAAAAUCUAGACUGCCUUAAGCUAAAGCAAACAAAGCAAGCUGGGGAAAGUUACAAUGGUUUAGAUUUUCUCAGUACAGUGAUUUUUAUUUUAUUUUGAAACAAUUUUCCCUUAAGGAAUGUCCUUUCAUUUUAAUUUGCAAAAGGCUGACAACUCAUCCUAUGAAAACUGUUCCCUUUUGCUGGAAAGAAUUAAUCUUUUUUUUUUUUUUUUUGGCUAAUCCAAAACGUUAUUUUCCCCUCUCAUAUUCAUCACCCACCUUUCAGUAUAACUUCCUCACUAUUUCAGUCCAGUACUUGAUGGGUAUUUAGAAUAAAAUUUCUCCAAU